UGGGCGGGGCCCGGCCAAGCCCCGCCCCCGCUUCCUGCCGGGAGGGGCCGCGGCCGGAGCGAAGGUCCUGGAGCCUCCCACCAUGUGGAACCCUGGUGCAGGACAGCCGCCCCCCCCCAACCCCGCGUACCCCCC